rnacentral:rRNA from 1 species
AGAGUUUGAUCAUGGCUCAGAUUGAACGCUGGCGGCAGGCCUAACACAUGCAAGUCGAACGGUAACAGGAAGCAGCUUGCUGCUUCGCUGACGAGUGGCGGACGGGUGAGUAAUGUCUGGGAAACUGCCUGAUGGAGGGGGAUAACUACUGGAAACGGUGGCUAAUACCGCAUAACGUCGCAAGACCAAAGAGGGGGACCUUCGGGCCUCUUGCCAUCAGAUGUGCCCAGAUGGGAUUAGCUGGUAGGUGGGGUAACGGCUCACCUAGGCGACGAUCCCUAGCUGGUCUGAGAGGAUGACCAGCCACACUGGAACUGAGACACGGUCCAGACUCCUACGGGAGGCAGCAGUGGGGAAUAUUGCACAAUGGGCGCAAGCCUGAUGCAGCCAUGCCGCGUGUAUGAAGAAGGCCUUCGGGUUGUAAGUACUUUCAGCGGGGGAGGAAGGUGUUGUGGUUAAUAACCGCAGCAAUUGACGUUACCCGCAGAAGAAGCACCGGCUAACUCCGUGCCAGCAGCCGCGGUAAUACGGAGGGUGCAAGCGUUAAUCGGAAUUACUGGGCGUAAAGCGCACGCAGGCGGUCUGUCAAGUCGGAUGUGAAAUCCCCGGGCUCAACCUGGGAACUGCAUUCGAAACUGGCAGGCUUGAGUCUUGUAGAGGGGGGUAGAAUUCCAGGUGUAGCGGUGAAAUGCGUAGAGAUCUGGAGGAAUACCGGUGGCGAAGGCGGCCCCCUGGACAAAGACUGACGCUCAGGUGCGAAGCGUGGGGAGCAAACAGGAUUAAUACCCUGGUAGUCCACGCCGUAAACGAUGUCUACUUGGAGGCUGUGCCCUUGAGGCGUGGCUUCCGGAGCUAACGCGUUAAGUAGACCGCCUGGGGAGUACGGCCGCAAGGUUAAAACUCAAAUGAAUUGACGGGGGCCGCACAAGCGGUGGAGCAUGUGGUUUAAUUCGAUGCAACGCGAAGAACCUUACCUGGUCUUGACAUCCACGGAAGGUCUCAGAGAUGAGACUGUGCCUUCGGGAGCCGUGAGACAGGUGCUGCAUGGCUGUCGUCAGCUCGUGUUGUGAAAUGUUGGGUUAAGUCCCGCAACGAGCGCAACCCUUAUCCUUUGUUGCCAGCGGUCCGGCCGGGAACUCAAAGGAGACUGCCAGUGAUAAACUGGAGGAAGGUGGGGAUGACGUCAAGUCAUCAUGCCCUUACGACCAGGGCUACACACGUGCUACAAUGGCGCAUACAAAGAGAAGCGACCUCGCGAGAGCAAGCGGACCUCAUAAAGUGCGUCGUAGUCCGGAUUGGAGUCUGCAACUCGACUCCAUGAAGUCGGAAUCGCUAGUAAUCGUGGAUCAGAAUGCCACGGUGAAUACGUUCCCGGCCUUGUACACACCGCCCGUCACACCAUGGGAGUGGGUUGCAAAAGAAGUAGGUAGCUUAACCUUCGGGAGGGCGCUUACCACUUUGUGAUUCAUGACUGGGGUGAAGUCGUAACAAGGUAACCGUAGGGGAACCUGCGGUUGGAUCACCU